AGCGACAGGCUUAACACAUGCAAGUCGAGGGGCAGCGUGAUUUGUAGCAAUACAGAUUGAUGGCGACCGGCGCACGGGUGAGUAACGCGUAUGCAACUUACCUAUCAGAGGGGGAUAGCCCGGCGAAAGUCGGAUUAAUACCCCAUAAAACAGGGGUCCCGCAUGGGAAUAUUUGUUAAAGAUUCAUCGCUGAUAGAUAGGCAUGCGUUCCAUUAGGCAGUUGGCGGGGUAACGGCCCACCAAACCGACGAUGGAUAGGGGUUCUGAGAGGAAGGUCCCCCACAUUGGUACUGAGACACGGACCAAACUCCUACGGGAGGCAGCAGUGAGGAAUAUUGGUCAAUGGCCGAGAGGCUGAACCAGCCAAGUCGCGUGAAGGAAGAAGGAUCUAUGGUUUGUAAACUUCUUUUAUAGGGGAAUAAAGUGGAGGACGUGUCCUUUUUUGUAUGUACCCUAUGAAUAAGCAUCGGCUAACUCCGUGCCAGCAGCCGCGGUAAUACGGAGGAUGCGAGCGUUAUCCGGAUUUAUUGGGUUUAAAGGGUGCGUAGGUGGUGAUUUAAGUCAGCGGUGAAAGUUUGUGGCCCAACCAUAAAAUUGCCGUUGAAACUGGGUUACUUGAGUGUGUUUGAGGUAGGCGGAAUGCGUGGUGUAGCGGUGAAAUGCAUAGAUAUCACGCAGAACUCCGAUUGCGAAGGCAGCUUACUAAACCAUAACUGACACUGAAGCACGAAAGCGUGGGGAUCAAACAGGAUUAGAUACCCUGGUAGUCCACGCAGUAAACGAUGAUUACUAGGAGUUUGCGAUACAAUGUAAGCUCUACAGCGAAAGCGUUAAGUAAUCCACCUGGGGAGUACGCCGGCAACGGUGAAACUCAAAGGAAUUGACGGGGGCCCGCACAAGCGGAGGAACAUGUGGUUUAAUUCGAUGAUACGCGAGGAACCUUACCCGGGUUUGAACGUAGUCUGACCGGAGUGGAAACACUCUUUCUAGCAAUAGCAGAUUACGAGGUGCUGCAUGGUUGUCGUCAGCUCGUGCCGUGAGGUGUCGGCUUAAGUGCCAUAACGAGCGCAACCCUUAUCACUAGUUACUAACAGGUGAAGCUGAGGACUCUGGUGAGACUGCCAGCGUAAGCUGUGAGGAAGGUGGGGAUGACGUCAAAUCAGCACGGCCCUUACAUCCGGGGCGACACACGUGUUACAAUGGCAUGGACAAAGGGCAGCUACCUGGUGACAGGAUGCUAAUCUCCAAACCAUGUCUCAGUUCGGAUCGGAGUCUGCAACUCGACUCCGUGAAGCUGGAUUCGCUAGUAAUCGCGCAUCAGCCAUGGCGCGGUGAAUACGUUCCCGGGCCUUGUACACACCGCCCGUCAAGCCAUGGGAGCCGGGGGUACCUGAAGUCCGUAACCGCAAGGAUCGGCCUAGGGUAAAACUGGUGACUGGGGCUAAGUCG
rnacentral:rRNA from 1 species